rnacentral:rRNA from 1 species
UACGUAGGGUGCAAGCGUUAAUCGGAAUUACUGGGCGUAAAGCGUGCGCAGGCGGUUUUGUAAGUUUGUCGUGAAAUCCCCGGGCUCAACCUGGGAAUGGCGAUGAAGACUGCAAGGCUAGAAUCUGGCAGAGGGGGGUAGAAUUCCACGUGUAGCAGUGGAAUGCGUAGAGAUGUGGAGGAACACCGAUGGCGAAGGCAGCCCCCUGGGAUAAUACUGACGCUCAUGCACGAAAGCGUGGGGAGCAAACAGG